rfam:Oryza glaberrima chromosome 2 Oglab02_0036_18, whole genome shotgun sequence.
GUGAGAAUCACAGUGCGAUUCUCCUCUGGCAUGGCAUGAGAGGCCUAAAAAAGAGACGCACUGCCGUGCCAAAGGAGAAUUGCCCUGCCAUUCAGAA